AGGAUCAAAACUCGAUCCUAGACUUAUGCAAAAAUUCCAUGCAGCUCUGUCCGCACAACUGAGCCGAUUCAAUCUCAGACUGAGUUGACUAACUUGAGACUGAGUCAACUCAGAUUGAGACUGAGCCGACUCACCUGCGUAUCGUGCUAGAAUUUUUUAGGCAUUGUCUUGUAUCUUGCACGCCCUCUGUGACUUGGUCGACCCAAUAUUCUAAAUCUGCUAUUCCUCUAUAGUUUUCGGUCCUAACUCUGGUUCUUUGCUCCACCUUGUGUCUCUAGAUAUUUGGAGCCUCAACCAAGUUCUCUUGAAAUCCUCAUCACCUAAACCUCG
rnacentral:lncRNA from 1 species